GGUAGUUAUAAACAUGAAUAAACCAAACAGAAGGGUAUAGGUACCGUAGGUAGGUUGUUAUAAACAUAAAUAAACCAAACAGAAGGGUAUAGGUAGCGUAGGUAGGUAGGUAGGUAGUUAUAAACAUAAAUAAACCAAACAGAAGGGUAUAGGUACCUUAGGUAGGUAGAUAGUUAUAAACAUAAAUAAACCAAACAGAAGGGUAUAGGUACCGUAGGUAGGUAGGUAGUUAUAAACCUAAAUACACCAAACAGAAGGGUAUAGGUAGCGUAGGUAGGUAGGUAGUUAUAAACAUAAAUACACCAAACAGAAGGGUAUAGGUAUCGUAGGUAGGUAGUUAUAAACAUAAAUACACCAAACAGAAGGGUAUAGGUAUCGUAGGUAGGUAGUUAUAAACAUAAAUAAACCAAACAGAAGGGUAUAGGUAGCGUAGGUAGGUAGUUAUAAACAUAAAUACACCAAACAGAAGGGUAUAGGUACCGUAGGUAGGUAGGUAGUUAUAAACAUAAAUACACCAAACAGAAGGGUAUAGGUACCGUAGGUAGGUAGGUAGUUAUAAACAUAAAUACACCAAACAGAAGGGUAUAGGUACCGUAGGUAGGUAGGUAGUUAUAAACAUAAAUACACCAAACAGAAGGGUAUAGGUACCGUAGGUAGGUAGGUAGUUAUAAACAUAAAUACACCAAACAGAAGGGUAUAGGUACCGUAGGUAGGUAGGUAGUUAUAAACAUAAAUACACCAAACAGAAGGGUAUAGGUACCGUAGGUAGGUAGGUAGUUAUAAACAUAAAUACACCAAACAGAAGGGUAUAGGUACCGUAGGUAGGUAGGUAGUUAUAAACAUAAAUACACCAAACAGAAGGGUAUAGGUACCGUAGGUAGGUAGGUAGUUAUAAACAUAAAUACACCAAACAGAAGGGUAUAGGUACCGUAGGUAGGUAGGUAGUUAUAAACAUAAAUACACCAAACAGAAGGGUAUAGGUACCGUAGGUAGGUAGGUAGUUAUAAACAUAAAUACACCAAACAGAAGGGUAUAGGUACCGUAGGUAGGUAGGUAGUUAUAAACAUAAAUACACCAAACAGAAGGGUAUAGGUACCGUAGGUAGGUAGGUAGUUAUAAACAUAAAUACACCAAACAGAAGGGUAUAGGUACCGUAGGUAGGUAGUUAUAAACAUAAAUACACCAAACAGAAGGGUAUAGGUACCGUAGGUAGGUAGGUAGGUAGUUAUAAACAUAAAUAAACCAAACAGACAGAACUUAAACAUCAUCAAUAAAUAACACGUCAAUAAUAUAUUAAUUCAAUAAUUAAAUACAGACAAUAUAAUGUUUUGAUUGAUCCUCACCACAAACAGAGAGUUUGCUUGGGGGAGUAAAUCUGAAAUGACACCCUAUUCCCUACAUAGUGCACUUCUUCCUGACCAUACUAUUCCCUACAUAGUGCACUUCUUCUGACCAUACUAUUCCCUUGAUAGUGCACCAUUUUAUUUUACCAUAUUAUUCCCUAGAUAGUGGACUACUUCAAACAUACUAUUCCCUAAAUAGUACACUAUGUACUGAAAUGCACUGUCUAGGGAACGGGGAGUCAUUUGAUACGCAGAUCCCUUGAAAUGAUUGGUGAGGAUUCACUUUAGGAUGGUCUCCUUACUAAACUGGGUUAGUCUACUAUUGCUUUAAGUCACUACAGAGUACACCGACAGUAAGGACAUAUAGGCAACUAGAACAUGUGACUUACAGUCAUAUAGGGGUUGGCUGAACAGUCUUCGGUGAGAUAAGUAUGUAUGGGUCUAAUGUUAAAUCCAAGUUGUAUUUUUGUGUAUAUCCAAAAAUCCAUGUUACUAGCAUACUUCUACUGCUACCUCCUUAGUAUAUCGUAAAUAAGCUAUGUCCAAGCCAGAACAGCCCAUAGGGCAGGAGCAUAUCUCCUGUUUCUAUAGCAUGAGGCAGCUUAAUGUGCAAGUACACCCCCUAAACAGGACACUACUUGUGCUGUGCAGUAAUAUAUUGGCCAAGCAUACUUAAAACUAUGUUCACAGGAGGUUGGUGGCCCCUUAAUUGGGGAACGACUGGAGCGGAAUUAGUGGAAUGGUAUCAAAUACAUCAAACACAUUGUUUCCACAUGGUUUCCACAUGGUUUCCUCAUGGUUUCCUCAUGGUUUCCACAUGGUUUCCACAUGGUUUCCUCAUGGUUUCCACAUGGUUUCCACAUGGUUUCCUCAUGGUUUCCUCAUGGUUUCCACAUGGUUUCCACAUGGUUUCCACAUGGUUUCCUCAUGGUUUCCUCAUGGUUUCCACAUGGUUUCCACAUGGUUUCCUCAUGGUUUCCUCAUGGUUUCCACAUGGUUUCCACAUGGUUUCCUCAUGGUGUCCACAUGGUUUCCACAUGGUUUCCACAUGGUUUCCAUGUGUUUGCAAUUCCAUUUGCGCCGUUCCAGCCAUUAUUAUGAGCCAACCUCCACUCAGCAGCCUCCUGUGUUCUAGUAUGGAUAUUGGGACACACAUUGUUUACGGGAUGUGCUAUUUUGCUAUAAGGGUCUAUAGCUCUUGUCAAGAAUUAGGUCACUAGGGUUUUGGAGGAGAGCAGAAUUGUUUACUUAAAGAGAUUCUCCAGUACUUUUGUAUACUUUUUAGUCAGUCUUUCUGAAAGUAGCGCUCACAAGUCAAAAGUGGUCCCCUAAAAUGGUGUAGUAUGUCACAUAUGUGCAGAUAUGUGCACCACGUCAUUGCUCUUUCUCUCGUUCUGCUGUGUGUGGAUCUUGCUAGUUGUCACUCAAAUGGUGAGGGGCUGAAGUUCGUUGGCUAGAAUGUGAAUUGCUAUAGGGCUGGCCCACUUGGGGGGAAAUGUAGAGAAAAUGGCACACCACAGCUUCCAGACAAACACUCACUUUCAAACUAGGGACUUUGUGGCUAAUUGAGGUAAAACAGUAAUUCUGCUCAUAGAUUAUGCAUGUAUAAACUACACAUUGACACAUCCAGCCCAAAGCGGGAGGUAAAAAAAAAAAAACACACUUAGUAGUCGCCAAAGUUCCGGAGCAUGUCUUGAAGACAUCUCAGACCCACUCUAUAUACCCUAUCUAGAAUCCAUCAUUAAUUCCAUUCAGAAACACAAUCACCAAGACAGGCUUUCAUCACAUCAUCCAUUUAGUCACAGUAGCACUAUGUUCUUGAUAAUCCUACAAUAUUUGGUUGCCUUUAGGGGAAGAAGUGGAAAAGGGUCCGGUUAACAAAGAACUAAGAUGACUACAACCCAGGUUUUAAAUGGGGCCAUCUCUGAUUCAAUAGAACUAACUAACUAGCUCUGGGCCCGUAGUUAUCAAGCGUCUCAGAGUCGGAGUGCUGAUCUCGGAUCAGGUCCUCUCCAUGUCCAUACAGAUCAGAUUCAUUAUGAUCUAAAAGGCCAAGCUGAUCCCAGAUAUGCAUUCCUGUUCUGAGUGAGCUCCGACUGACAAGGGGCUCUUAGAAAAAGUCUUAAGUAAAAAAUCCAUAUGUAAGAAAUAGUCCAAGAUAAGGGUAAAUGAGAAAAGGCUUAGGAGGGAGGAGAGAGGAGGGGGGUGGGCGGAAUGAUAUUGCUUGUGCUCGUUUUGUCUUAAUCUGCUCUGUCCUUGAAAUAGAAAAGAGGUUACAUUCCAAUAAUAAUACUAUGAAUUAGUAGGGAGAUUAAAGCGUAAGGAGUACAGAGGUCUGGGCUUUCAGGAGCAGUCCUGUGUGCUACAUACGAGGGGAGGGGAUGGAAAGUGGGAGUGGGUUUAAUCAUUGUCCAAACAGGCAGAAUUAUUAGUUCUGUGCGUAGGAAAUAUGUGUGUGCGUGUGCAUGUGUGUGUGUUUGUUUGUGCAGACUUUUUCACUGUCAAGUGCAGUCGACAUUUUGUCGUUUUUUUGCGAUUGGGUGCUCCGGAUUGGGUGCUCCGGAUUGGGUGCUCCGGAUUGGGUGCUCCGGAUUGGGUGCUCCGGAUUGGGUGCUCCGUAUUGGGCGUAUGAUUGCUAUUUUUAUAUAUGGGUGCUGUGUGACUGUGCUGUGGGGGCGUUAGUAUGCAACUCUUUUACCUCUCGCUCCUCAUUCCUUUCUCUAUCCUCUCACCUCAUUAUCUCUCUAUCUCUCUCUCUUUCUUGCUCUUUCCAUCUCUCACACCCCCUCUGCCAGUCUGUCUGUCUCUGUGUAAACUGAGGGUUUUUAGAUCAGGUCAUAUGUCGGUGCUGGCACCUGGUCCAGAGAUGUUAUCAAGUGUUUAUUUAAGGGCCUGAGGGUCUCAGGUUACAGCAGAAGGAACUCUACACCACUGCUAGGCUGACCCACAAGAAUACAACAUUCAGCUACAACCAGUUGAUCAAGACCUUUCCAAAAAUAUUUCUCUUAAGGGACAGACUGGCUCAGGUAUUCCAAACACACCGGAUAGUUAUCUAUCAGCGGGUUAACUUUAUACUCUCUUUCCUGGAGGGUUAUCUGACCAUCUCUUGACUGAUAUUGAUAUUGUUUUUGAUGAGCCAAUGAAAGCGUCAGUAACUGGAUGUUGGAUGGAAAAAGGCUCCUAUAAUAAUAAUAAUAAUAAUAUAUGCCAUUUAGCAGACGCUUUUAUCCAAAGCCUAUGUACUCUGUAUGUACUCUGUUGAGUUUCUAAUGGUUAUGUAAGUACAACUGAGUUUCCUGUCCGCCGGUCCAUCAUCUCAGCGCGUCCUCUCAUGAGGUCAGAGCCACUGAGUCCAGCGAUCGGAUGUCUGGGCUACAUCGGAAAGAGAAUGGAAAAGAAAGGAAGAGAGAUACAGAGCCCUUUAAAACGAACUAAUUACAGCUGUCUAAAACAUGAGCUAGUAACUCUGCCUUUCUUAUUGAGGGUACCACAAAAACACACACACACACACACACAUGCACGCACGCACAUACACACACACAGAGAGAGAGAGAGAGAGAGAGAGAGAGAGAGAGAGAGAGAGAGAGAGAGAGAGAGAGAGAGAGAGAGAGAGAGAGAGAUGUUAAAUGAAUGAAAGAGAGCUGGAAAUAUAGUAUGUGUUUUUUUACAUGCUGUGUGUGGUUCAGUUGUGUUUGUUCGGUCAGAGGACUUUGUUCCCUGUUUUCAAGGGAACAGUUUUCCUCUCUCUUGGGGGUUGGGGGGCAUGGGGAUGUGCGGCUGUGCAGUGGGAGUGGGGGGAUGGGCUGCGUUUGGGAGGGAGGAUGCAGGGGGAUUCAUCAGGAUAUCUGCAAAGGUGGUGGUGACUGGGGUUAUUGGUCAUGCCAGAUUAUAAAUGGUUUUAACAUAUUAUCUCUUCUCCUCUCCUUUCUUCUCCUCUCCUUCCCUCUCCUCUCUUAUCCUCCCUUCCCAUCUGCUCUCUUCUCCUCUCCUUCCCUCUCCUUUCUUGUCCUCUCCUCUCCUCCCCUCUCCCUCUCUCACAGUGAAGAUAUUGGUUGGUUUUAUAAUUUGCGAUGACACAAUUCCUAACUUCAUCUCUCCUCUUCCUCAACGUCUCCACCCUCACACCACCCGUCCUCCUCCAUCACUAUUUAUCUGUUCUGCAGAAAGUUUUUUUUCUUUUUUUUCUUCUUUUUUUUCUUUCUUUCUUCUCCUUCUGUCACUACUUCUUGUUCUUCUUGAAGCGUCUGAACUGGUUCUGGAUGGCGAGCGCUGCUUUCUCCGUCUCUGGCGCUUCCAAGUCGAUGUCCACUUCCUCUUCCUCCUCCCCAGUCGCUGGGGCCUUGGAGUCAACCGCC